CCCUGAAUCCUAACUUUCUCAUACGAAGUAUUACACAGGAUUUUUUUGAUCAGCCCUCCUUAGUUGAUAACUCGUCACCGGAAGAUCGGCUUUUCUUCGCCGGAAAACCGCCAUCCUCUUGCUUCUCAAAGCAAUCAUCUUAGUUUUCCGGCCACACUGACACACCAUUGUUCUUCGUUCCAAUGUGUCAAGCAUAAUCCACCGCAAACCCCUGUUCAUCUGCAUCUUCAAAACCCCAUAAAUCCAUAAUCGAGAUGGCUUCACUUUGGUGUAGCAGUUGCACUCGACGUCAGCCGGUUGAGACUACUUCAUUGGGUUUCAUAUGUUUACUAUUUGUGGGAAGGUCAUUGAUCAAGUUAUAUAUUCAGACGACGAUGAGCCCAGCUAUGUCAACAAUACAAGAGGAAAAGUAGGGGCUGAUGCUAAAUCUGAGAAUGGAAACAUUCUGUCCACUAUGACCCAGGGGAUGGAUGCUGAAUAACUAAUUCAGCGUGCACCAGCAGCCAGACAUGCAGAGACAAUCACUGCAGGCCUGCUCGAAAAACCAAUGCCUGUUGGCUAGCUAGCCCUUUAACUGAAAACUUCAGCAAUGUGCAUGUUUGGUUAAUGAUGUAUUAGGAGGUUAAAGCCAUCUCUUGCUAGGAUUUUUUCUAUGGCCCAAAUGUGGUUGUAGUGUAAACUCAAGAUCUCUCUUGUUUCUUUUUCUCCAGUAAAAAAAAUGCUGGGGGUUUAUCUUUCAUUUUUCGACACAAUAAUCAGUAGCAAUUACGUCUUCCAUUUGAUAACAAAUACCUUCAAUCCAUACUCUGGCAGUCUAGUAUAAUAAUCAAACUCAAUCACUUUAAGCACAGUAAAUGUGUGAUACAAAGGUUUUUCUUGAUUGUGCUUGCUUUCUCUUUUGCUUCAUAGAAACCCAAACUAUAUGUGCAUGACAUUCAAAUUUUGCUACAUUUUUCUUCCAGCUUGCAAUACAAACAUCAUGAUCAAUUUCACUCCAAUCCAAUAAGCAAUUAUUGGGU